GACUCUCGGCAACGGAUAUCUCGGCUCACGCAUCGAUGAAGAACGUAGCAAAAUGCGAUACUUGGUGUGAAUUGCAGAAUCCCGUGAACCAUCGAGUUUUUGAACGCAAGUUGCGCCCAAAGCCUUUUGGCCGAGGGCACGUCUGCCUGGGCGUCACAC
rnacentral:rRNA from 1 species